GACGUGGCGCAGGCGCGACGCGGCCAUGGCGGAGCGUGUGCGGGAGGAGCUCUCGGCUCUGGCCGCGAUCUUCUGCGGGCCGGGCGAGUGGGAAGUACUGAGUCGCUCAGAAUGAAUCAGCCUGACGUUUUAUCAACUUUUGAAAAGUGGGGUGAAGUGGUGUGGAACGCAUCAGAGGGGUGAAGCGGAGCAAAUCUGAAAGAGAGCAGAGUGUUUCAUCUCCUGUCCUGUGUGUGCUCGCCCCCUCCUCCUUGUGGAGUCAGGCACGGAAUUGCUGUCUGCCCCAUUUUAGUUCCUCCCGCUGCCUUCAUGUUAUACCGAUACUGAUGCACCUGACGUCGGAAAAGAGUGGUCCGGGCAGUUCCUGUAUCGUGCGCCCUCAUGGUUUUCUCUGCACCCCGACAGCCACACGAGAUGUAGGGUUUGUCCAACUUGGGUUUGCUACAACAUGACUGUCACUGGAUUUUGUAUAUAAUUUUUAAACAAAUUACUGAUUUAAUAAAUACAUGAUACUGGUUCUUUAAAUGUUCAUGUGAGUGUAUUAGAAAUUUCUGGAAUUACCCACUAAGUUUGGGUUCGGAAAAGAAAUCGUAUGAUGAGAAACCUUUCUGGUGACCUUAAUAAAAAUGAGAUAAUAGCUGUUGUAAAUGCCAGUGAAAUCCUCGGUGCGGGUGUGCACGGAUCUAUGAAUAUAUAUGUGUGGCUAAAGGAAAUAAUCCGUAAAUCAUGGCUUUCUUAGGGUGAGGUGUCCCUUCCUAAAAUAACUGAGUUUCCACGUGAAAAAUAAAUCGACACUUGAAACAAAAAUUUUAACUUGUUAGUGUUCCGUUCCCGUUGAAUUAUGUACCGCUAAUCAUUAUUUUUGGCUGCUUUCCAGAGACAGAUGGGACUGUGUUCAGAAUUCUCACAAAAGCCGAAGGGCGUCUGGAUGCAGAUAUUCCUUUACAGCUGGUCUUCCAUUUGCCGGUCGAUUACCCGUCGUGUCUGCCUGGCAUCGUGGUUAACUCCGACUGCCUGACCAGGGCCCAGUGUGCGGCUGUGAAAGAGACAUUACUGAAGCAAGCAGAGACUCUUUUGUCGGAACCUAUGGUUCAUGAGCUGGUUCUCUGGAUUCAGCAAAAUCUCAGACACAUCCUCAGGCGACCAGAAACCAGAGGUGACAUUAGUGCGACAUGCCCUCCUGCAGCACGCCCGGCUGUGGAUGAUGGAUGGUGGAUAACUCUUUUGCAUUUAGAUCACAUGAGAGCAAAGACUAAAUAUGUCAGAACUGUGGAGAAGUGGGCUUCCGAUUUAAGGCUGACAGGAAGACUGAUGUUCCUGGGUAAAAUAAUACUGAUUUUACUGCAGGGAGACAGAAACAACAUCAAGGUGCCAAAAAGUUUAAUGUUAAAUGUGCAUUUGGCUAUUUUUUGCUAAAACGGUGUGUCUCUAAGUGUGUUUUAUAACAAUGGGACAGAUUAAUCAUUCAGAUGUUCCUGCUUUCACUCUUUUGCCAUGUUAAUGGAUGUUUAUUUUCUUUCAAAAGACUAGAUUUUAAUUACACUGCAGACUUGUGAAGUUUGAAAAAUAUGUAGGAGAUUAUGUUUUAAAAGUCAAGUCGCUUAAUGAAAGUGAUAGGCUAUUAAAAAAAUCUCUGUGGCACAUGAGUGUUUCUGUAGUUAGCUUUGAGCCUCAACUUUAUAACUUUGCACUAAACGUCUGUGCAUAUUUCUGUUUCUUUCCUUAGGCACAACAAAAAAAGUGAAUUUGUGGGUAGUCUGCCAAACUUUUAACUUUUUGGCAGCUAAAGAUACAUUCUGACACUUGAAAUGGGUAUCUCUAAUACCUGGAAAGAGUAGCGAGUCUGUCCUAACCAGGAUUUAGUGAGAGUGGAAGUAGAAUUAGGGCUGUCAGCCUGUCACCUCCUCCCUAACUUUUGCUUUCCACCUGACUUGUCUCAGCAGCUGCUUUCAAAGUCAUCAUCUUCACAUUUUUCAAGUUCUCGUUCUCAACUCAUCUAACCUGUUUUAUGUGGGACCAGACAAGGAAAGCUGCUUAUUAUGUUUUAAAUCAUAAAAGAGCUACAAAUCACUUAAUAGGUUUUAUACUUUCAGGUGGGUUGGGUCAAGAAUAAUUACAAUGGAAUUUAUUCAAAACAGAUUUAUCUUGCUUAGCAUGUCAUCUUAAAGAUUUGCAGGAUAACUGCCUAGCUUUUUCAGGAUGGGCUCUUAACCACAAAACUUGUUGGUUAUUAACUUCAGUUGACCAGAGUAGUGCUCGGUUAUAGUAUAUAGGUGCAAUGAAAAAUCCAGAUUGAAUAUGGAUCCUGGGUUAGGGGGUGUGACCAAGGAACCACACAUUUUAGGGUGAUUUAUAGUAUAUCUCUGAUGUCUGAGCCUUUUGGAUAAAAUACUGGCUGACAAAAUGAAUACAAAUUAAUUUCCUUGCUCGCAUUUCCCCCAAAGGCUCAGCUCUUCCUUUAAACCAGCUCAGGCAUAUUACGGUAAGUGCAGCUGUUUUGCAGAUGUUGUUACUCAGAUUGGAUCCAUCGAUUAAUUAACAUGUAUAGAAUCAUAUGGCUAGAGCACCGCUAAUGCAGAGUCCUCUUUAAAGAGUUUUUUUUUCUCUUUUUUUAUUAGCUGUCCCUAAAAUGCCAUUUAAUGUAAAUGUCUGUUAAAUUUUUAUAAGAUCAUACAUCAGGAUUGAGAAUUUCAGGUACCUAUUUAUAGAUGGCAUCAAUUGGGACUGUUCGGUGCUAUGUGCCUGUUAAUUUGGACCUUGAAGUAGUGAUAAUAAUGACAGUGGCCGGUAUCGUAAGCGCUGUGUGCCAGGCACUCCUCUGAGUGCUUUCCAUGUAUUAACUCAGUCAUCGCAGCUUCCCCAUAAGGUAGGUGUUGUUAUGGGCACCAUUUUAUGGAGAGCUUCCUGAGGCACAGGGGGUUAGGUAGCUAGCCCCAGACCUAGCCGGCUGUCCAGUCCAGAUUUGAUCCUACCUAGUUCAAGUGCAUCCUUCUUUACCCCACCGUUCACCAGACUGUUACGCUUCCGACUAUGUAAAAGCACUGUGUAAUUCUUUUACUGCUUGGUUUAGAGAGUGAGUACUCUGUAAGCAUGAAAAUAAGCCUGCCGGUUUGUGGUUUCUUUAAAACUAGAACUUUGAGAUUCAGGGUAAGAUAUGUGUGUAACAUACUGAUUUAUCAUUUAGGAGUACCUGAUUCUUCAGAAAACUUCCAAAGUAGAUGUGGACUCAAGUGGAAAGAAAUGCAAAGAGAAAAUGAUUCGUGUACUGUUUGAAACAAAAGUACAGACAGAACACAAAAGGUUUCUGGCGUUUGAAGUCAAAGAGUAUUCAUCGUUGGAUGAGUUACAAAAGGAAUUUGAAACUGCAGGACUUGAGCAGCUUUUCUCUGAAUUUGUGCUUGGGCUGGUAAAAUGACAUGAAAGAAGAUAGGAAUCUUUUAGUGAAAAAGCAGUGUUCUUGUUUUUGUUUUUUGCAUCGGAUUUGGGGAGUGGCUGAUUUAAAUACUCAUAAGGGAACAAUUUCAAGAGUUUCUCUGAAGCAAAAUGACAGACACCAUCAUCGUUUCAGAACAAAAGCCAAUUCUGUUUAUGGAAUAUUAAACAGUAAGGAUACCCAUAUAUUCUAAGUUUUGCCAGUAAAAGCUAGGUUCAAUAGAUGGAACGUUAUUUGAAAGAUAAAUAUAAAAAGAUGAUGGUAAAUGAGCCCUUGUGUUUGUACAGAGGAUUUGUUUGGAACUGUGCAAUUUUCUGGCUAAUUUUCGUGUAAUUAAAUGAAUUUCAAAAAGAGAUUUGUUUCAUAUUGGCUUUUGUCAUGUUUACAUUUUUGGUGUUGGAUCACGAUUUUUCCCCAUUCAGCUUAUUGUGUCUAAUGUUUUAAGUUGAAUGUUAAGAAAAAUAUAACAUUGAUUUUUUUUGUGGAGUUGCAUAAAUGGUUAGUUUAAAUAAAAACUAAACAAGCUCUAUGGAA